rnacentral:rRNA from 1 species
CCUGGCGGCCUUAGCGCGGUGGUCCCACCUGACCCCAUGCCGAACUCAGAAGUGAAACGCCGUAGCGCCAAAUGGUCAUUGGUGGGGGUCUCCUACGUGAGGAGUAGGGAACUGCCAGGC